rnacentral:hammerhead_ribozyme from 1 species
AUCCAGCUGACGAGUUCCAAAUAGAACGAAACGCAUGUCCUGAAU